GGUGUACUCGCGGAUACAAAAAAAAAAGAACACUAAGCAAUUUUUUUAUCUUCACAUCCGCUAAAACGUUAAAGAGGCCACGAACCUUCCCGCUUGCUUCCAAGUAUAAAAACCCAGAGCAGUUCAAGAACUUUACACAGUGGCCGUCAAGGCAGAAACGGAGACCAACUCAAGCCUUCAGUCUUCAUCGUAAGGCCAUUCACCAUGAAGUCCUACGUUAUCUUGGCGCUCGUCAUCCUGGGGCAUCUGUGUCAAAUUCACGCAGCCACGCUUAGCAAACCGGCAAAGAACACAGACGACGCAACAAAACGACUCACGGAAAACAUUUCCCAUUCCCUCAUGGAGCACCA